rnacentral:rRNA from 1 species
CCGCUACCACGCGAGUGGAUGCCAAUCCCCAAAACCUCUCUCAGUUCGGACUGGAGUCUGCAACCCGACUCCACGAAGCUGGAUUCGCUAGUAAUCGCGCAUCAGCCACGGCGCGGUGAAUACGUUCCCGGGCCUUGUACACACCGCCCGUCAAGCCAUGGAAGCCGGGGGUGCCUGAAGUGCGUGACCGCAAGGGACGCCCUAGGGUAAAACUGGUGACUGGGGCUAAGUCGUAACAAGGUACC